AUAUUUGAAUAAUAAUAACCUCAUAUAACCGUGAGAAUAAGGCUCACAAGUUUCUACCAGGUAGCCGUAAACUACCUGACUAUGAGGGAAGUGUACCUAGGG
rnacentral:ncRNA from 1 species